GCGCUCUCUUUCUUUGCCUGCUUUCAACGAGAGAAGAGGUCCCUCUGGAAUCAUCUCGAAGGUGCGGGUGUUCUUUGGAAGGGAGUAGAAAGCCUAUCGUCUAAGCGAUGACAACCAUGAAAACCCCAGGACCAAGCAAGAGGUGGUGGUUCGCUCUCCGUGCCAGGGUUGCCACAUUUGGUGGAGAAUGCGGGCAACUCGACCGUGCUACGGACAAUCAUUGGGAGUGAUCGACGACGCAGCCAGAAACGAGGACACGAGAGACGAGGGCGCCAGAGAAGAGGCUGCGUGAGUCGAGGCUGCGUGAGUCGAGGCCGCCAGAGACGAGGCUGCGUGAGACGAGGCCGCCAGAGACGAGGCCGCGUGAGUCGAGGCCGCCAGAGUCGAGGCCGCCAGAGACGACGCCGCAAAACGAGCCACGCUGGCAGCAGAAGCCGCCACGCUACCCGCAGGACCGUCGCUCCUCCGAGAGGCCUCCCGAGGCUUCAUCAAAGGGUGGAGGAGUGAGGCAACCCGGCCUUUGCCAAUCAACUUGAUGCAGAGCACCUGAGGGCCAGAGGGAGAGCAGACCUUAAAUAGCCUGCUCCAAGGUGCAUUCAGGGCUCUCUUGGCUUGGGUGUGAGGAAAACCUGUGUUUCUUUGUUCUUUUAAGUAAGAGAUCCUUGUUUUGUAUUAUUAAAAGUG